GGACUACCAGGGUUUCUAAUCCUGUUUGCUCCCCUUGCUUUCGCGCCUCAGCGUCAGUUUCAGCCCAGAAAACCGUCUUCACCACUGGUGUUCUUCCACAUAUCUACGCAUUUCACCGCUACACGUGGAAUUCCGUUUUCCCUAACUGAACUCUAGUCAGAAAGUCUCAAAUGCAGCUCCGGGGUUGAGCCCCGGAAUUUCACAUCUGACUUCCCUGACCGCCUACGCGCCCUUUACGCCCAGUAAUUCCGAUCAAUGCUUGCACCCUCCGUAUUACCGCGGCUGCUGGCAC
rnacentral:rRNA from 1 species